rnacentral:lncRNA from 1 species
UUGCUCGAAAAUUACGCAAUGAUGUAUUUCAUCGAAAUAGACGUGAACAUGCCUGCGUGCGCGCAACUAAUGGAGUAACCCAUGCAUUCGUCAAAUUAUUGACAUGCUUGUCAACUUGCGCGCACUGAUUUUUUCCCUUCACAUUCCAAAUGGUAUAGCCUAUAGAAAGUGAGUCCCUGAAUCGAUGUGCACCACAUCUCAACUCCCAUUCGUUCGAGGAGGAAACGCUAGAACUGGUGAGAAAUAUUGGCGUGGCAUCUAAACCCAGGUUUUAUUUUCGUGUCACGUUGAACCCUAUUUAGCAACAUCCCAUAGAAGUCAUGGAAGGAGUCAGCAGCAACAGGAACAUGUCAUACAGUCGAUGGAGUUAUGACAGGACCUGGAGGCAAAGGUCCAGCUGGCUUGGUACCACCCGGCUGGCAGACGGUGCAUUGCCAUUACCGGGGAUCUCCGUGACCUUCACAGGUGUCCGGUUACACUCCACUGAUGCAGCAGCAGCCCAUACCACUCACACACCUGCUCUGGGCAGGCUGAUCCUCCUUCACCCUGGCCUGCAGUAUUACCCAUAGGGGACUGGGAGAAGGGACAGUGAGACCCAAACUGGGACAGAACCUACCGCUGGGCUGGAACCCCAAACACACACGUCUGUUUAUCUCAGGCAGCACACAGUGUGAACACCCAGGGAGGGAGAUGGGGGGGGGGGGGGGGGAUUCUAUUCAUAUGAAUAGAAGGGAGGUUGUGCAUGUGAGCACAACCCCAGCCUAGUUCUAUCUAGGGAAGAGGGAGAUAGGAAGGAUGUUAUUAGUGUUACCAUUGCAUUGAUCUGUGUUGCAGAGUAAAAAUAAGUCUAUAAAAAGCAAUAGCCAUCCAUCACCAUUGGGUGGGAUUGACUGACCAAGCUGAUCCUUCAUUGUUGAAACGGUUGCUUAGCUUCUACAUGACCCCUCCAUUCAAAAAUAGACAAACCGAUUUGAGCUUUUCCUAGUGUGCUCUUUUAUCCCAUGUGGUUGAAAACACCAUUGAUUCUGAUGGAUUAAUGGCUCCAUGAAACAGACUACAGACCAUAGUAUAUUUUGUGGCCAUUGUGUAGUGGUGGGAAGCAAUAAUGCCAGCCUUGACAUUAGAAUUUUUUUUUUUUUUUACCUUCCACUUUGUUAUUGACUUGUUUAUUGUUUACUCCAUGUGUAACUCUGUGUUGUUAUCUGUUCACACUGCUAUGCUUUAUCUUGGCCAGGUCGCAGUUGUAAAUGAGAACUUGUUCUCAACUAGCCUACCUGGCUAAAUAAAGGUGAAAUAAAUAAAAUAUGUUUUAUUUAUUUAACUGGGCAAGUCAGUUAAGAACACAUUCUUAUUUUCAAUGACAGCUUAGGAACGGUGGGUUAACUGCCUUGUUCAGGGGCAGAACAACAGAUUUUUACAGUGUCAGCUCAGGGAUUCGAUCUUGCAACCUUCCGGUUACUAGUUCAAUGCUCUAACCACCCGCCUUGCAUUGCACUCCACGAGGAGCCUGCAUGGCAGGCUGACUACCUGUUACGCGAGUGCAGCAAGAAGCCAAGGUAAGUUGCUAGCUAGCGUUAAACGUAUCUUAUAAAAAACAAUCAUAACAUAAUCACUAGUUAACUACACAUGGUUGAGGAUAUUACUAGUUUAUCUAGCUUGUCCUGCAUUGCAUAUAAUCGAUGCGGUGCCUGUUAAUUUCUCAUCGAAUCACAGCUUACUUCUCCAAACGGGUGAUGAUUUAUCAAGCAAAUUCACAAAAAAAAGCACUGUUGUUGCUUCUUUUAAAAUCAAUACACACAUGACUUUCUUUUAACUAGGGAAAUUGUGUCACUCCUCUUGCGUUCCGUGCAAGCAGUCAGGGUAUAUGCAGCAGUUUGGGCCGCCUGGCUCUUUGCGAACUGUGUGAAGACCAUUUAUUCCUUACAAAGACCAUAAUUAAUUUGCCAGAAUUGUACAUAAUUAUGACAUAACAUUGAAGGUUGUACAAUGUAACAGCAGUAUUUACUUAGGGAUGCCACCCGUUAGAUAAAAUAAUGAACGGUUCUGUAUUUAACUGAAAGAAUAAACGUUGUGUUUUCUAAAUUAUAGUUUCCGGAUUUGACCAUAUUAAUGACCUAAGGCUCAUAUUUCUGUGUGUUAUUAUGUUAUAAUUAAGUCUAUGAUUUGAUAUUUGAUAGAGCAGUCUGACUGAGCGGUGGUAGGCAGCAGCAGGCUCAUAAGCAUUCGUUCAAACAGCACUUUCGUGUGUUUGCCAGCAGCUCUUCGUUGUGCUUCAAGCCUAUCAACUCCGAGAUUAGGCUGGUGUAACCGAUGUGAAAUGGCUAGCUAGUUAGCGGGGUGCGCGCUAAUAUCGUUUCAAUCGGUGACGGCACUCGCUCUGAGACCUUGAAGUAGUUGUUCCCCUUGCUCUGCAAGGGCUGCGGCAUUUGCGGAGCAAUGGAUAACGAUUCUUCGAGGGUGGCUGUUUUCGAUGUGAUCCUGGUUCGAGCCCAGGUAGGGGCGAGGAGAGGGACGGAAACUAUACUGUUACACUGGCAAUACUAAAGUGCCUAUAAGAACAUCCAAUUGUCAAAGGUAUAUGAAAUGCAAAUGGUAUAGAGAGAAAUAGUCCUAUAAUUCCUAUAAUAACUACAACCUAAAACUUCUUACCUGGGAAUAUUGAAGACUCAUGUUAAAAGGAACCACCAGCUUUCAUAUGUUCUCAUGUUCUGAGCAAUGAACUUAAACAUUAGCUUUUUUACAUGGCACAUAUUGCAUUUUUACUUUCUUCUCCAACACUUUUGCAUUAUUUAAACCAAAUUGAACAUGUUUCAUUAUUUAUUUGAGGCUAAAUUGAUUUGAUUGAUGUAUUAAUAACUUCUUAGUGUCACACCCUGACCAUAGUUUGCUUUGUAUGUUUCUAUGUUUUGUUUGGUCAGGGUGUGAUCUGAGUGGGCAUUCUAUGUUGGAUGUCUUGUUUUUCUGUUUCUGUGUUUGGGCCUGAUAUGGUUCUCAAUCAGAGGCAGGUGUUAGUCAUAUUUAGGUAGCCUGUUUG